rnacentral:rRNA from 1 species
UGGGUGGUAAUGCCGGAUGUUCCGCCCCACCGCAUGGUGGGGUGGGAAAUGCUUUUUGCGGCAUGGGAUGGGGUCGCGUCCUAUCAGCUUGUUGGCGGGGUGAUGGCCCACCAAGGCGUUGACGGGUAGCCGGCCUGAGAGGGUGACCGGCCACAUUGGGACUGAGAUACGGCCCAGACUCCUACGGGAGGCAGCAGUGGGGAAUAUUGCACAAUGGGCGCAAGCCUGAUGCAGCGACGCCGCGUGCGGGAUGGAGGCCUUCGGGUUGUAAACCGCUUUUGUUCAAGGGCAAGGCACGGCUUCGGGCCGUGUUGAGUGGAUUGUUCGAAUAAGCACCGGCUAACUACAUGCCAGCAGCCGCGGUAAAUACGUAGGGUGCGAGCGUUAUCCGGAUUUAUUGGGCGUAAAGGGCUCGUAGGCGGUUCGUCGCGUCCGGUGUGAAAGUCCAUCGCCUAACGGGGAUCUGCGCCGGGACGGGCGGGAUGGAGAAAACCAAUACCUAGGGGAGACCGGAAAUUCCGGUGUACCCCGUGC